GAUGAACGCUGGCGGCGUGCUUAACACAUGCAAGUCGAACGAAGCACUUUAUUUGAUUUCCUUCGGGGAUGAUUAUUUUGUGACUGAGUGGCGGACGGGUGAGUAACCCGUGGGUAACCUGCCUUGUACAGGGGGAUAACAGUUGGAAACGGCUGCUAAUACAGCAUAAGCGCACAGCGUCGCAUGAUGCAGUGUGCAAAACGCCGGUGGUAUAAGAUGGACCCGCGUUGGAUUAGCUAGUUGGUGAGGUAACGGCCCACCAAGGCGACGAUCCAUAGCCGACCUGAUAGGGUGACCGGCCACACUGGGACUGAGACACGGCCCAAACUCCUACGGGAGGCAGCAGUAGGGAAUAUUGCACAAUGGGCGAAAGCCUGAUGCAGCGACGCCGCGUGAGCGAAGAAGUAUUUCGGUAUGUAAAGCUCUAUCAGCAGGGAAGAUAAUGACGUUACCUGACGAAGAAGCACCGGCUAACUACGUG
rnacentral:rRNA from 1 species